CUACUAUGUUCAGAGUUUGAUCCUGGCUCAGGAUGAACGCUAGCGGCAGGCUUAACACAUGCAAGUCGAGGGGCAGCAUGAGGCGGAGAUUCGUCGAAGUCUUGAUGGCGACCGGCGCAAGGGUGCGUAACGCGUGAGCAACUUGCCCGUUUCAGGGGGAUAACCGGUGGAAACGCCGACUAAUACCCCAUAGCAUCAACUUUAGGCAUCUUUAGUUGAUUAAAGAAUUUCGGAAACGGAUAGGCUCGCGUGACAUUAGCUAGAUGGCGGGGUAACGGCCUACCAUGGCGACGAUGUCUAGGGGUUCUGAGAGGAAGGUCCCCCACACUGGAACUGAGACACGGUCCAG
rnacentral:rRNA from 1 species